CCAUAUGGGUGACACAUCAUC
rnacentral:siRNA from 1 species